GAUUUUUUUCGACAACCGGUUUCCACAUACGUGCGGCAUUGUUUGCACCAAUGGAGGGGUUUGCUAACCGGUACUCAGGCGCAAAAAUUAUAUCGGUGGUUUUUUAAACUGUAAACACGAUCAUAUGUUCGUGCAGGAAACUUGCCAAUGGUGAAUUAUUUAAAUUUCAUUCCAUGCGUGGGAGGAAGAAAGGUACUUUGCAACUUUGCAUUAUUCUUUGAUUCGGACAAUCUGACAGAAUUUGAAUUGAAUAUUAAUCUAAAAAUGUUUUGAAAUCUUUUGUAUGUAUGUAUGUAUACAUAUUUUCUCUUUUGACUUCCAGCACAGAUUACACAAUAUGUAUUAUCAUCUAUCUGGGAUGGACGGAGUUUUGACUGACACCGAGUACUGCACGCUAUUCCUCCUAGUCGUCCUGCCUGUGCAUUUAUUUUUCUCGCUUUGGGCCUGGAUGGGCUGGGAACUGUUCACUAACAACUAAAUCCAAGUCAACAAUUUUGUAAACAAUUUUUUAAUAAAUUUUAUUAUGUAUUUUUAA